CCCCUCCCUCUCUCUGCACCUAGAAGGCAGGGAGCAGGGUCCCCACCCUCUUUGCUGCUGGAACCCGGUAUGGAAAAGGUUAAGAAUCACCGGAUUAGACACUAAAGUAGGGAUUUUCCACCGUGGUGUCUGGCUUAUGCAGUGUAUUAACCAUCUCCUUGUGCAGAAGCGUUUGGCACAGGAAUGCUUUAGUCCUGCUUCUCCUCCUCCCUCCAGACUGCAGCGGGGAAAUGAAACCAAACACAAAGACAUUUCCUGGAGCACUGGAUUCCGUUCAGACUCUGAGCCUGGUUGCCUCUGGCUGCUCUGGUACUAAGAAAAAAAAGACAACCACGUAAACACCAAGAUCCUCAUUUAUAACCAGCCCCCCAAGAAGCAGCUGCCUUUCUGCCCAGGCUGUGACGGCAGGCCGAAGAUGAAGGCUUUUCUUCUCACCCUGCUGGUGGCGGUUCUGUGUGCGGA